CACGGAGGCUGCGAGUCCGCCUCCCCGAGCUGCAGGACCCAGGAGCCUCCUAGCACGAAUGCCUAUCUGAAAAGGCUGGAGGGGCAACUCGCCCGGGCUCGGACACAACGGCAGGGUCUGACUCUGGUCCAGGCAAAGUAAUCAGAUGAAGGCAUUGGAACAUUCAAGUAUGUUCUACAUUUGAGUGACUUCGUAACUAAUAAAAGUGGAUGGGAUUGUCUUGGGAAUACUCUACAUAACAGAAGAGGAUGCAAAAGGUAUAAAGAUACUCACUUCAUGAUGUAACUACAAUGGAUGAAAAUAAAAUAGUGCAGGUGCUGGAGGCACACAGCAGGUCAGGCAUCAUCAGGUUAGUAACUUCAGUUUUGAUGAAUUAGUGUACCACUUUUCAAAAUAAAGUACAAAGCAGAUAAAUAACAGGAGGAACAGAACAAACUCUUGAUUGUGUAGAAGGCAGGUAUAAUUUAAAGAUAGCAGAGAUGGCAAUAUGAGGUAAAAUGAGUUUCCAUCUUACCAACAGAAUUAUUACCAGAAUCUGCUCUUCAAAGAAAAACAUGGUCAGUGGUUUGUUGAUAAACCAAGAUCCAGCCUGAAGUCAAUGUUCUUUCUUGGUAACAAGUAAUUACCUCAGUGCCCAACUUGAACUAUGAAGGUCAGCAAAACAUUAUCAACCUGAAUUUUGACCCCACACCCAGCACUAUGAAAGCAAAGACAGUGAACUGAAAUAGGAAGUACAAGUAGAUUACUAUUCCAUUUGAAAAGAUAUUCUAUUUUGCUCGCUGAUUGCCACUUGCAGGUCCUUUGCACUCACAGACCUUGUCAACCACUGUUGUUUUUUCCCCACUUCUCCAUUUUUCAUCUUAAUAGUUGUUCUAAAUAUUAGUUGCCUCUAAGCUUUCAGAUCUGAGAAACAAAGGCAGCAAUGGGAACUGCUGGUAAAACUGCUGCCUCAUGGUUCCAGUGACCUUGGUUUAACCCUAGUCUGUGUGGAGGUUGCCAGCUCUUUCUAUAACCGCAUGGACCUUCUCUGGGUGCUCUGGUAUCAUGCUAAAGAUAUAUUGGUUGACAGGAUAAUUGGCUACCAAUGUGCAGGUAGAAUUGGAGGUAAGCGUGGUUGUUACAAAUGGGGGGAAAAUAUAAUAUUGGUGUUGAUGGGUGCCAAGUGAUCAGCAUGAACACAGUGUGAGCUUGGUUCGGUACUGUUUGACAAUGACUUAGUAUCUGUAAUUGUGAAAAUCAGUCUGAAACGUUAACUGUUUCUCUCCACAGAUGCUGCCUGACUGGCUAAGUUCUUUCAGCAUUCUCUCAAACUUAAAUUAUCUGAUAAGGCCAAACUGGGCAUUCAAGAUAUUUAUUAAAGUAAUAAUGAUUUAUAAUGUUUAAACAGCUUACAAUUUCGGCUUUCCCAUGAUUAAACCUGCAAAGAGACCUAUCCAGUAUUGCUUUCACUGCCUUUGUUGAUUAGAAGCCUUUUUUUAAAAAAAGUGUUUAUUCAGCGUUCACAAAAUUACUGUCAAUUUCUGUCUCUCCAAACUUCAUGCUCUCAAAGCACAAUAAAAUGAAAGUAGAAUAAUUAUUUUUCACUGCAACAAUGUUUAAAGGCAUAAUGGCCAAUGAGCAUCCAAAAGUGGAGCAUGCUCCACUGCUUAAAAAGGUUGAUUAUUCUACUUGUAUCCCACUUUUUCAGAUCCCUUUAUUCUUCGAACAUCCAUAAAUCUGUCUCUAUUCAGAAAACUUUUGAUGAUAAAAGCCUCCACAACCUUCAAGGAUAGCAAUUUCCAAAGAUUCACAACCCCAAGUAAAGGAAAGUCUCAUCUCAUUCCAAAUGCCCCAAUAGGUAUUCUGAUAGUGUGACCUCUGGUUCUGGGCUCAACUGAAGGGAUUACCUUCUCCACAUAAACCCUGACAAGUCACAUAACUGUUUUAAAAAAAUAUCUGGAAAAUUCAGGUCACAUCCAGCCAAAUCUUUCAUAUAGUAAGUUUACCUGAAGUUAGAAAAGGUACAAGCUAAAUGAAUAGCUUGACUAAAUAUAGGAAAUAAUUUAGCAUCAUAAACAAAUGUUAUUUGCAUUCCGGAACACUUAAGGGAGUAACGAAUUAGUAUUUUUUGCAUAACAUCUACAAGCCAACUGCCACACAUCGGAAGCUACACCUCUCACAUCCUUGUCAACCACGUUUUCCAGGAUCUUGGAAUGUAAUAGAAUUAGAUUUUGACAAGCAAGUGUGAAACGUACUAAGGCAAAGGAUGGG